AGUAAAGUCAGCUAAUAAAGCUAUCGGGCCCAUACCCCGAAAAUGUAGGUUUGAACCCCUCCUGUACUA
rnacentral:tRNA from 1 species